rnacentral:rRNA from 1 species
CCUACGGGAGGCAGCAGUGGGGAAUAUUGGGCAAUGGGCGCAAGCCUGACCCAGCAACGCCGCGUGAAGGAAGAAGGCUCUCGGGUUGUAAACUUCUUUUCUCAAGGACGUAGCAAGUGACGGUACCUGCGUAAUAAGCCACGGCUAACUACGUGCCAGCAGCCGCGGUAAUCCGGCGGUGGCAAGCGUUAUGCGGAUUUACUGGGUGUAAAGGGCGUGUAGGCGGGACUGCAAGUCAGAGGUGAAAACCACGGGCUCAACCUGUGGCCUGCAUUUGAAACUGUAGUUCUUGAGUACUGGAGAGGCAGACGGAAUGCGUGGUGUAGCGGUGAAAUGCGUAGAUAUUAGGCGGAACACCAGUGGCGAAGGCAGUCUGCUGGACAGCAACUGACGCUGAGGCGCGAAAGCGUGGGGAGCAAACAGGAUUAGAUACCCGAGUAGUC